rnacentral:rRNA from 1 species
ACGGAGGGUGCAAGCGUUGUUCGGAUUCACUGGGCAUAAAGAGCACGUAGGCGGCUCGCUCAGUCAGGUGUGAAAGCCCACGGCUCAACCGUGGAACUGCACCUGAUACUGGCGAGCUCGAGGAUGGAAGGGGUGAGUGGAACUCCAGGUGGAACGGUGAAAUGUAUAGAUAUCUGGAGGAACACCGGUGGCGAAAGCGGCUCACUGGUCCAUUUCUGACGCUGAGGUGCGAAAGCUAGGGUAGCGAACGGG